GCGACCCAGGUCAGGCGGCAUUACCCGCUGAGUGUAAGCAUAUCAAUAAGCGGAGGAAAAGAAACUUACAAGGAUUCCCCUAAUAACGGCGAGCAAACCGGGAACAACCCAGCCUCAGAAUCAGGCGUCUUUGUUGUCCGAAUUGUAGUUUGGAGAAGCGUCUUCAGCGGCGGAUCGGGCCCAUGUCACCUGGAAGGGGGGGCCGGACAAGGUGAGAUCCCUGUCGUGCCCGGACCAUGUCGCACCACGAGGCUCUGUCUACGAGUUGGGUUGUUUUGGAAUGCAGCCUAAAUCGGAGGGUGAAUUCCGUCCAAUGCUAAAUACUUGCGAGAGACCGAUAGCGAACAACUACCGCAAGGGAAAGAUGAAAAGGAAUUUGAAAAGAGAGUCAAAGAGUUCUUGAAAUUAUCGGGAGGGAAGCGGAUGGAGGCCGGUGAUGCGCCACGAUCGGAUGUGGAACGGUGACGAGCCGGUCUGUCGAUCGUCUCGGGGCGUGGACCAACGUGGAUUGGGGGAAGGACAAAGCUCGGGCUCUCGAUACGACCAUGGAACGCCGUCUCCCCGAUUGUGGAAGGCAGUGUGCGCCUCCGGCGUGCUUCGGCAUCUGCGCGCUCCGGACGCUGGCUUGUGGGCUCCCUAUUUGACCCGUCUUGGAACACGGACCAAGGAAUCUGACAUGUGUGCGAGUCAACGGUCGAGUAAACCCGUAAGGCGUAAGGAAGCUGAUUGAUUGGAUCCCCCUGAGGGGUGCACCGCCGGCCGACCCUGAUCUUCUGAGAAGGGUUCGACUGUUAGCAUACCUGUCGGGACCCGAAAGAUGGUGAACUAUGCCUGAGCGGGGUAAAGCCAGAGGAAACUCUGGUGGAGGCCCGCAGCCAUACUGACGUGCAAAUCGAUCGUCUGACUUUGGUAUAGGGGCGAAAGACUAAUCGAACCGUAUAAUAGCUGGUUCCGUCUAAAGUUUCCUUGAGUAUAGCUGGAGCUCGCAUGCGAGUUCUAUCGGGUAAAGCCAAUGAUUAGAGGCCUUGGAGGCGUAACGCCCUCGACCUAUUCUCAAACUUUAAAUAGGUAGGAUGAUGCGACUGCUUUGUUGAGUCGCGCCACGGAAUCAAGAGCUCCAAGUGCGCUAUUUUUGGUAAGCAGAAUUUGUGAUGCAGGAUGAAUUGGAAGCCGGGUUAUGGUGCCAAACUACGCGCUAACCAAGAUCCCACAAAGGGUGUAGGUCAAUUAAGACAGCAGGACGGUGGUCAUGGAAGUCGAAAUCCGCUAAGGAGUGUGUAACAACUCGCCUGCCGAAUCAACUAGCCACGAAAAUGGAUGGAGCUUAAGCGCGCGAUCUACACCUGAUCGUCAGGGCAAGUGCCAGGCCCCGAUGAGUAGGAGGGCGCGGAGGGUCUGCCGUCGUCGGGCGUGGCAUGCCAUUAUAGCCCUUGGAUAGCACACACGGUCGGACAACGUCGGACGUGGCAUGCCAUCAUCGCCUUUGGACUAGCUGACACGGUCGGAUGAUAUCGGGCAUCGCAUGCCAUCAUUGCCUUUGGACUAGCUGACACGGUCGGGCGACGCCGGGCGUGGCAUGCCAUCUUCGCCCUUGGGCAGCACAGAUGGUAAGACUGCGUCGGGCGUGGCUUGCCAUCAUCGCCCUUGGACAGCACAGACGGUCGGCCGUCGUCGGGCGUGGCAUGCCAUCAUAUCCCUUGGAAAGCACAAAUGGUCGGCCAUCGUCGGACGUGCCUGCACACAAUGGUCAGCCGUGGCCUGCCAGCAUCGGUCUUGGCUUGCGCGACAUUGUUUGAGUUCUAAACGAUAGAUGCAGAUGUUCAUGUCGUACAUAAAUCAAAGGAUUUCAAUACAACCUCCAUGAAUAACAAACAUAUUCAUCGACUUUCCAUUAUCUAUUCUCUAACGUUUCCACCAAACGUGGCUCUUUUGCAUCAUUUUUAUUACUUUUAUAGUUCGUAUGAUAUUGAAACAUCUUUUAUUUGUGCAAAUUUAUAUUUUAUCAUUAAUUUGACAUGUUUAGAAGUGUUUUCGAGCAUUUCUAUAUUUUUCCGACAUUUAAUCAUUAUUUUAUAAUUUUUUUUUACGCUUUUUAAUUUUUUACGUCUCCUUUUAAAAACUAAAAUAUAUUAAAUUUUUUAUUUUAAGGUUCCCAUAUUUAUUUGUGAACUUUCGGAGUUGAUUUCAUAUUUUUUCUGAAAUUUUCCCUAUUUUUUAUUAAUUUAUUACUAAUUUUUCAGAAUUUUCAAAAAAAAUAAAAAUUAAAAAUAAUAUUGAAAAAUAUUUUUUUUAUAUAUAUUGAAGUCAUUUAUGAAAGCUAAUGUGUGUUUCUACCUUUGAACGUGCAUAUUUGGGUUGUACAUUUCCAUUAUGAUUUUCUGGAAAAUCCAUGUCUACUCCUGUCACAUGGGUAAAACUUUUUUAAGCAUAUAUAAGGGGGGUAGAGGUGUUGGAGGCAGACUGAGGCGCAGGCAGGCAGACGGCAUAGGCAUCCUGUGGAAUUAGUAGGCGUGUUGCGUGGGCGCUUGCUGGCAUGCAUGGCUUGUUCGUGCUACAUUGUUGGGCAUUUACAAAAACACGUCGGCGAUGUCUACGGGUCAAGUGAGGCAAAGGCAGGAGUACGUCAAGGGCGUCCUAUUGGCUUAGUAGGAGUACUGCGUGGGUGCUUGAUGCAAUGCAUGGCUCGUCCGUGCUACGCCGUUGGGCAUCUACAAAAAUGUGCUAGCGACGUUUGCGGGGCGGUUGCGGUGAAGGACGGCGAACGUCAAGGGCGUCCUGUGGGCUUAGUAGGCGCGCUGCGUGGGCGCUUGAUGGCAUGCAUGGCUCGUCCGUGCUACGCCAUUUGGAGUUUACAAAAUGAGCCCGCAACGUCUGCGAGGCAUUUGAGGCGGUGGCAGGUGGACAUGGGCGUCCUAUGGGCUUAGUAGGUGUGCUGCACGGGCGCUUGACGGCAUGCAUGGUUUGUCCGUGCUACGCCGUUGGGUGUCAACAAAAACAUGCCAGCGACGUCUGCAGGGCAACUGAGGCAAAAGCAGGCAGACAUCAAGGGCGUCAUGUGGGCUUAGUAGGCGUGUUGCGUGGGCGCUUGACGACAUGCAUGGCUCGUCCGUGCUAUGCCUUUGGGCGCUUACAAAAACAUGCCAGCGACGUCUGCGGGGCGACCGUGCGCUGCCGAGGGAACUUCUCAAGAUCCGUUUAUAAUGGCGUUUGGUGUGGAAACGGCAGUGCUUUUUGCGAGUGGUGAGUUCUAGAGCUCCUGUUACGGCUAACUCUAGGGGCCACAUGCACCGCACGUAAGGCCAUGUACGGCUAGGGGCCUAUCCUGAGAUGUCGGCGGGAGCCUCGGGAAGAGUUAUCUUUUAUAUUUAACAGCCUUCCCACCCUGGAAUCGGCUCACCCUGAGGUAGGGUCCAGCGGCUCGAAGAGCACCGCACAUCGUGUGGUGUCCGGUGCUCUCACGGCGGCCCUUGAAAAUCUGGAGGACCGAAUGCCGUCCAUGCCCGAUCGUACUCAUAACCGCAUCAGGUCUCCAAGGUGAACAACCUCUGGUCGAUUGAACAAUGUAGGCAAGGGAAGUUGGCAAAAUUGAUCCGUACCUUUGGGAAAAGGAUUGGCUUGGAGGGCUGUGCACGGGGAUCCAAGUCCCAAACCCGUCGGCUGUCGGUGGACUGCUCGAGCUGCUCCCACGGCGAGAGCGUGUUGCCGCGUGCCGGACGGGGGAAGGACUAGGAACGGUUCCUUCGGGGGCCUUCUUCGGGUGUCGAACAAACAACUCAGAACUUGUACGGACAAGGGGAAUCCGACUGUUUAAUUUAAACAAAGCAUUGCGAUGGUCGCAACGGAUGUUUACGCAAUGUGAUUUCUGCACAGUGCUCUGAAUGUCAAAGUGAAGAAAUUCAACCAAGCGCGGGUAAACGGCAGGAGUAACUAUGACUCUCUUAAGGUAGCCAAAUGCCUCGUAAUCUAAUUAGUGACGUGCAUGAAUGGAUUAACGAGAUUCCCACUGUCCCUGUCUACUAUCCAGCGAAACCACAGCCAAGCGAACGGGCUUAGAAGAAUCAGCGGGGAAAGAAGACCCUGUUGAGCUUGACUCUAGUCCGACUUUAUCAAAUGACUUGAGAGGUGUAAUAUAAGUGGGAGUCGAAAGGCGAAAGUGAAAUACCACUACUUUAAACGUUAUUUUACUUAUUCCGUGAAUCGGAAGUGGGGCACUGCCCCUCUUUUUGGACCAAAGGCUCACUUCGCGGGCCGAUCCGUGCAGAAGACAUUGUCAGGUGGGGAGUUUCGCUUGGGCGGCACAUCUUUUAAAAGAUAACGCAGGUGUCCUAAGAUGAGCUCAACGAGAACAGAAAUCUCAUGUGGUAAAGAAGGGUAAAAGCUUGUUUGAUUUUUAUUUCCAUUACGAAUACGAACCGUCUAAGCAUGGCCUAACGAUCCUUUAGACCUUUGGAAUUCAAAGCUAGAAGUGUCAGAAAAGUUACCACUAGGAUAACUGUCUUGUGGCAGAAAAGCGUUCAUAGCGACAUUGCUUUUUGAUCCUUCGAUGUCGGCUCUUCCUAUCAUUGUGAAGCAGAAUUCACCAAGUGUUGGAUUGUUCACUCACCAAUAGGAAACGUGAGCUGGGUUUAGACCGUCGUGAGACAUGUGAGUUUUACCCUACUGAUGGCAGUGUCGUAAUAGUAAUUCAACCUAGUACGAGAGGAAACGUUGAUUCACACAAUUGGCCAUCGCACUUGGUUGAAAAGCCAGUGGUGCGAAGCUACCGUGUGCUGGAUUAUGAUUGAACGCCUCUAAGUCAGAAUCCGGGCUAGAAACGACACAUGCACACGACGUCCGCUUUCCGAACCGCAGUAGGGGCCUAUGGCCUCCAAGGGCACGUAUCGUUGGCUAAGUCGCUGCGAUGGAAGCAUCGCGGUGACCGCCUUAAAGUACAAUUUCCAUCGAGAGGCGGGUAGAAUCCUUUGUAGACGACUAAAAUACACGACGGGGUUUAUUAAGUGGCAGAGUGGCCUUGCUGCCACGAUCCACUGAGAUUCAGCCCUUUGUUGCUCCGAUUCGU
rnacentral:rRNA from 1 species